UCAACUGUUUGUGACCCAACUGUUAUCAACUGCACGUGAAGAACAUAAAUCAAAGGAUUUGCUGCUAUGUCGGAAAAAACUGAAGUUGAUUUAACCGGAGCUAAGCAAAACGAUGGCGUAUGGCUAGUAAAGGUUUCCAGUACCGAGCCCAUCAGUGCGCCAACGCGUCAGGAAAAGGAGAGUUUGGAAAGUGUCAUUCACACUGAAUGAGGACCUGACCAGCCUGUCUACAUUUGGGGAGAAGGCAGCGUCGGUACGAGCCCCACGGGACCAUCCAAUGACCAUGCACAGUGUAUGGGGAAAGACUGUGUUCACUGAAAGCUCUGCAGACAUGGACAGAACCGACAGGAGCACAGCUCUCGGCCUGACAACCAUCACAUGAUCGCUCCAGUAGAGACAGAUAAGAGAGCAGGUCUGAGGGGGAUGAAUCAAUGGCAAAAAUCCCAUGACUCAGUCCCAGUGCUGAGAGGUGUUCGGGUGGAAUGCUCAGUGAUUCACACAGGGAUUUGGACUGAAGAGACACAGCCGACCCAGACGGCUACAUUUCCUACAAGCUGCCUCAGAUCCUGCCUCACAGAGCUAGAGGCUCGGCAAAGACACACUCCAACCCUGAAGAACAUUAGCAACAGUAGCAAUGCGCAUGACCCACCUGCAGGCAUCUAUUUUCUGUGUUUGAGGGAUGCAAAAUCCAUUUGUCAGUUAAAUCUCACGGAUUGAUUGCUUUCAUUUUAUUGCUGCGACUAUUUCAUUCCCUAGCUUGUGCCCGUCAUUUUUUCCCGUUCAAUUUGUGUCCACAGAAAUGUUUGUAACACCCUGUCAAACAUACCCCUGUAAUGGCUGAAAUGGGCUAAAUAGAAUACAUUGUCUUUCCGUUGUAUCUAUAAAGAAC